rnacentral:rRNA from 1 species
UACGUAGGGUGCGAGCGUUAAUCGGAAUUACUGGGCGUAAAGCGUGCGCAGGCGGCGCGUUAAGACAGGUGUGAAAUCCCCGGGCUUAACCUGGGAACUGCGCUUGUUACUGGCAGGCUUGAGUGUGGCAGAGGGGGGUGGAAUUCCACGUGUAGCAGUGAAAUGCGUAGAGAUGUGGAGGAACACCGAUGGCGAAGGCAGCCCCCUGGGCCGACACUGACGCUCAUGCACGAAAGCGUGGGGAGCAAACAGG